rnacentral:rRNA from 1 species
CAAUAGCGUAUAUUAAAGUUGUUGCAGUUAAAAAGCUCGUAGUUGGAUUUCUGGUGGGAGCGAUCGGUCUGGCGCUUAGCGCGAGUACUUGCAUCGUCUCCGGCCAUCCUUGGGGAGGGUCUGUCUGGCAUUAGGUUGGCGGGCAGAGGAUCCUCAUCGUUUACUGUGAAAAAAUUAGAGUGUUCAAAGCAGGCUUAUGCCGUUGAAUAUAUUAGCAUGGAAUAAUAAGAUAGGACUUUGGUACUAUUUUGUUGGUUUGCGCACCAAAGUAAUGAUUAAUAGGGACAGUUGGGGGUAUUCGUAUUCCGUUGUCAGAGGUGAAAUUCUUGGAUUUACGGAAGACGAACUACUGCGAAAGCAUUUACCAAGGAUGUUUUCAUUAA